rnacentral:rRNA from 1 species
UCCAGACUCCUACGGGAGGCAGCAGUGAGGAAUAUUGGUCAAUGGUCGUAAGACUGAACCAGCCAAGUAGCGUGCAGGAUGACGGCCCUAUGGGUUGUAAACUGCUUUUAUGCGGGGAUAAAAUGCGUCACGUGUGAUGUUUUGUAGGUACCGCAUGAAUAAGGACCGGCUAAUUCCGUGCCAGCAGCCGCGGUAAUACGGAAGGUCCGGGCGUUAUCCGGAUUUAUUGGGUUUAAAGGGUGCGCAGGCGGAAGAUCAGUUCAGCGGUAAAAUUGGGGGGCUCACCCUCUUCGAGCCGUUGAAACUGGUUUUCUUGAGUGAGCGAGAAGUAUGCGGAAUGCGUGGUGUAGCGGUGAAAUGCAUAGAUAUCACGCAGAACUCCGAUUGCGAAGGCAGCAUACCGGCGCGCAACUGACGCUCAUGCACGAAAGCGUGGGUAUCGAACAGGAUUAGAUACCCCAGUA